GUAGGGUGCGAGCGUUAAUCGGAAUUACUGGGCGUAAAGUGUGCGCAGGUGGCCGCGCAAGUCGAGUGUGAAAUCCCCGGGCUUAACUUGGGAAUUGCGCUCGAAACUACGUGGCUAGAGUGUGGCAGAGGGAGGUGGAAUUCCACGUGUAGCGGUGAAAUGCGUAGAGAUGUGGAGGAACACCAAUGGCGAAGGCAGCCUCCUGGGCCAACACUGACACUCAUGCACGAAAGCGUGGGGAGCAAACAGGAUUAGAUACUCUGGUAGUCCACGCCCUAAACGAUGAUGACUAGUUGUUGGAGGAGUUAAAUCCUUUAGUAACGCAGCUAACGCGUGAAGUCAUCCGCCUGGGGAGUACGGUCGCAAGAUUA
rnacentral:rRNA from 1 species